CACGUAGUUAGCCGGGGCUUCUUAGUCAGGUACCGUCCAAAGUCCUGUGGACUUUUUUUUCUUCCCUGCUGAUAGAGCUUUACGUACCGAAAUACUUCUUCACUCACGCGGCGUCGCUGCAUCAGGGUUUCCCCCAUUGUGCAAUAUCCCCCACUGCUGCCUCCCGUAGGAGUCUGGGCCGUGUCUCAGUCCCAAUGUGGCCGUUCACCCUCUCAGGCCGGCUACUGAUCGUUGCCUUGGUGGGCUUUUACCUCACCAACUAGCUAAUCAGACGCGGAACCAUCGUAUACCACCGGAGUUUUUCACACUGCUUCAUGCGAAGCUGUGCGCUUAUGCGGUAUUAGCACCUAUUUCUAAGUGUUAUCCCCCAGUAUACGGCAGGUUUUCCACGCGUUACUCACCCGUCCGCCACUAACUUAUAAUUCACUAGGUUUCGUUAUAAGUCCGUUCGACUUGCAUGUGUUAGGCACACCGCCAGCGUUCAUCCUGAGCCAGGAUCAAACUCU
rnacentral:rRNA from 1 species